AAAUAAGAAUCAUAUAUAGAUAUAUGAUAUCAAUAUGUUUCCUAUUUUUACUAUCAUACAUCAAAUAAAACCAAAUCACAAACAGAAAUGGCAUACCUUGAUGCAAGGUUUAGGUAUGGAGGAGAGUACAUGGUUGUGUUGAGAGUCUUUAAAGAUUGGAUGAUGGCUGGGUAAGUGUUGAAGUAUGGUUUGAGAAAUAUGUUGAGGAGGAAGGUGAUGGAGUUAGUUUGAGAAAUAUCUUUUUGGUAGCACUAAAAAGAGAGAAUUUUGAAAUUUCCGUCAUUCAUAUUGGGUGGAUUAAGCAGAGGUCAUAGCCAGAAAAGUUGCGUUGUGACCCUACUGCUACGAACGGAAUCAUCCAUUCGGAUCAACAAUGCCUACUCAGAAUAGGAGAAGCUAUAUUUCAAACCCUUUUUCUAUCUCAAAUUACUUAACUUGUACAUGGAUCCAUGGUGUGAGACUAGAUUUUUAUUUUCCCUAGCACUGACAAUGCUCCGGUGUUCCAACACUAGUUGCCG
rnacentral:lncRNA from 1 species